AGCAAUGCCGGUAAGAGUUUUAAGUCUGGUUUCUGUCCUUUCAAAAUUUCGGGAAGAUUAUUGACACUGCGUGGUUGUACAACUGCUAUUAUCAGAGAUUCGGGCCGCCGCUGUCACUCAAAAUUAUUGACGGAGCUUCUGCGAGGCCAAUUUGGAGUUAUGGCUGCUUCGCUUUAUUAUUUCAGAAUUAGAAUCCGAGUUUAUUGGUGGCGUUUGGAGCUGUUUCUGCUUUUGAAAGAGCAAGUGGAGCCGAGUUGUUG